UUCGGAAAAUUAGUAAACUGGCGAACGGGUGAGUAAUAUGUAAGUAAUCUACCCUUGGGUUCGGAAUAACGUCGAGAAAUCGGCGCUAAUACCAAAUAACGCAGCGGCAUCGCAUGGUGAUGUUGUUAAAGGUACUUGUACCGCCUAAGGAUGGGCCUGCAUUUGAUUAGUUUGUUGGUGGGGUAAUGGCUCACCAAGGCUACGAUCAAUAGCUGGUCUGAGAGGAUGAUCAGCCACACUGGAACUGAGACACGGUCCAGACUCC
rnacentral:rRNA from 1 species